UACGUAGGGGGCAAGCGUUGUCCGGAUUUACUGGGCGUAAAGAGCGUGUAGGCGGCCAAGCAGGUCCGUUGUGAAAACUGGGAGGCUUAACCUCCAGACGCGGCGGAAACCGCGCGGCUAGAGUCCGGAAGAGGAGAGUGGAAUUCCUGGUGUGAGCGGUGAAAUGCGCAGAUAUCAGGAAGAACACCAAUGGCGAAGGCAGC
rnacentral:rRNA from 1 species